AUGUGGUGGUUGGGUUUGGUCAGGGAUGAAGUGGUGUGCUAUGAAGUCGAUGUUAUCAUUGGUUACAUCUAUUUCCCCACUUAUGAUUUUGAGGAUGUCUUUGAUGUGAUCCUUCCAUUUAUCAGCUCGAACUUCAUGGAUGGUAAGAUAGAGAUUCCUAUUAUGGUUGUUUCUUCCUUGAACUCUUCGUCUCCAAAAUCACAUCAUGUUUCUUCCAAAAAAAUUGUGACUAGAUUUCUAUAUGGAAGGUAUGCAUCUUCUUUCUUGCUUUGUAACAUGUAG